rnacentral:rRNA from 1 species
UACAGAGGGGGCAAGCGUUGUUCGGAAUUACUGGGCGUAAAGGGCGCGUAGGCGGCCUGUUAAGUCGGACGUGAAAUCCCUCGGCUCAACCGGGGAACUGCGUCCGAUACUGGCGGGCUUGAAUUCGGGAGAGGGAUGUGGAAUUCCAGGUGUAGCGGUGAAAUGCGCAGAUAUCGGGAAGAACACCCGUGGCGAAGGCGGUUCUCUGGGACGGUACUGACGCUGAGACGCGAAAGCGUGGGGAGCGAACAGG